AUGGACUAUAAAUUGAAAAUAUUAAUUGCAACUGUUUCUGUAUUAUUCACAUCUGGAAUCCUUAUUAUUUCAUGGGUACUCUCGGCAGUGACUUCACUCCUGUAUGACGAUUUCAUUUCCGUCGGAAGAUUUACUUUUGCCAGUUUUCCUCCCUUAUUCAAGUUUAAGAUAAUAGGUUUCAUGAAAAGAUUUCGAGGAAUACCAAUGGGCAUUUCUAUGGCCGAC